rnacentral:rRNA from 1 species
AAUCAGCGCAAUAGGGCAAACCCAUAAGUCAGCUUUACUGCAAGGGCGACAACCCGAGCAGUCGCGAAAGCGGAAGUUAGUGAUCCGACCGUACGAUAUAGGACGGCGGAAGCUCAACGGAUAAAAGUUACUCCGGGGAUACAACUGUGUCCCUGCGCAAUGGCAACAUCGCGCAAAGUACAUGGCUAAUAACGGUGAAACCCAUAUGGUGGCUUUCGAGGCGCCAUGCGGGCAAUACCGUGGGAAGUCAGGGGAGCUAAUUAAGAUUACUCUUAUGAAGCUUACAAAAAAACAAAAGGCGAUUAUUUACGGCGUUAUAUUCGGCGAUGGAUAUCUGCAGAAAACAGGAACUCAGAACGCGCGCUUGCGCGUUGAGCAUUCCAAAAAGCAGGAAGCGUACGCGCAAUGGCUGUAUGAAAAUCUUGAAAAUAUUUUUUCUGACAAGCCAAAGCGAAUAGACCGCGUCCAUCCAAAAAACAAGAAGACAUAUGAAUAUGUCCGAUUGCAAAGUAACGCGUCGCCUUGGUUCGGGAAACUGCGGCAGAAAUUUUACGACAACAGCAACAAAAAAGUGGUGCCGUCUGAAAUCGCGCUUUUUCUUGAAUCGCCAUUAUCAUUGGCAGUAUGGUACAUGGAUGAUGGAUAUUAUUACGCGCGGGAUAAAUCAGCGCAUUUCUAUCUUCCGAACUAUAACCAAGAAGGCAGGGCGCGCAUUAUCAGCGCUCUAAAAAAUAAUUUUGAUAUUAAUGCAACAGCGUAUUGCAGGCCAGAUAGGAACGCGUGUCACAUUACUAUCAAUGGAGCUGAUCUACAUCAGUUCAAAAAUAUUAUAAAACCAUAUCUUAUACCUAGUAUGAGAUAUAAACUCCCCUUGACCCCGUAACGACUGAGAGCGAGAAAUAUGAAAGUUUUAGAGCUCGAGAUAUAAGUUAUUUUGCUUAUAUAAUAUGCCGUGCCCCGCCGAAUCGGCGGGUGAAGAUAUAGUCUACGCCUGAUAGCAAUAUCAGGAUAUAAUACUCAAAAAAGUAUUGUGAACAGGCUGAUCUCCCCCAAGAGCUCACAUCGACGGGGAGGUUUGGCACCUCGAUGUCGGCUCAUCACAUCCUGGGGCUGAAGAAGGUCCCAAGGGUCCGGCUGUUCGCCGGUUAAAGUGGUACGCGAGCUGGGUUCAGAACGUCGUGAGACAGUAGAUUGUGCUGUCUAUAAAUUUGGCUAUAUGCUGGAAACUCUGGAGAGUCCGCGGAGACAAUUGUAGGACUCGCGCAUCUCACACUACUAUGCUAUACUUGUGUAUAUGAAUAGUGACAAUGUGUUGAGUGCAGACAACCAGCAGGAAAGACCAAAAAUUCAACCAUGGUAUGUUGCGGGAUUUGUUGACGGCGAAGGAACAUUUCAUAUUGCCAUCAAUAAAUCAAAAGAAAAUCGUUUCGGUUUACGAUUUAUUCCGGAAUUCCAUAUAAAUCAGAAUUCUCCAAGCAAAGAUGUCUUGGAAGAUAUUAUGUCUUUAUUUGGUUGCGGAUAUAUCAAGCAAAACCACAAAACAAGCAUCCGUGAUAAAACAUGGGUGUAUGUGGUGCGAAAUCGAAAUGAUCUGCUGAAUAUUAUUAUUCCAUUUUUUGACGCGCACCCUCUAAGAACACAGAAACAAAAAGAUUUUCUUCUGUUUAAAAGAGUGGCAAGCAUGAUGUCCGGAAACGAACAUCAUAAAAAAAAUGGCAUAAAAAAGAUAAUCAGCUUGGCUUAUAACAUGAACCAAGCAGGCAGAUACAGAAAAGUAUCAAAACAACAUAUCAUAGAAUUAUUGGAAUCCUCAGAGACUAUACGCCAGACGCGCUGCGAAUAGCUGCGUAAAGAUAUAGUCCGAACUGCAUGGCGACAUGCAGAGUGUAUUUCGCGAUACACCGCCACAGAGCACGCGCGGAUUAUAGAUGUGGUUUGCAAAGUAACAGAAUGUCGGUCUCCUAUCUACCAUGGGCGUUGAAUUCUGCGGGAGCUCCCCUCUAGUACGAGAGGACCGAGGGGAACGCACCUCCUGUGUACCGGCUGUGUCACCAGAUGCAGUGCCGGGUAGCGGCGUGCGGCAGUGAUAAGCGCUGAAAGCAUCUAAGCGCGAAGCACUUCCCAAGAUAAGAAUUCGUUAUAGGGCGGUCGGAGAUGACGACCUUGAUAGGCUCUAGGUGUAAGCAUAGCAAUAUGUUCAGCCAAGGAGUACUAAUAGCCCGAGUGC